rnacentral:rRNA from 1 species
UGGCGGACGGGCGAGUAAUGUCUGGGAAACUGCCUGAUGGAGGGGGAUAACUACUGGAAACGGUAGCUAAUACCGCAUAACGUCGCAAGACCAAAGAGGGGGACCUUCGGGCCUCUUGCCAUCGGAUGUGCCCAGAUGGGAUUAGCUAGUAGGUGGGGUAACGGCUCACCUAGGCGACGAUCCCUAGCUGGUCUGAGAGGAUGACCAGCCACACUGGAACUGAGACACGGUCCAG